rnacentral:rRNA from 1 species
UACGUAGGUGGCAAGCGUUGUCCGGAUUUACUGGGCGUAAAGAGCGCGCAGGCGGCUGGUCAAGUCCGAUGUGAAAUCUCCCGGCUUAACUGGGAAACUGCAUCGGAAACUGAUCGGCUUGAAGGUGGGAGAGGGUAGUGGAAUUCCCGGUGUAGUGGUGAAAUGCGUAGAUAUCGGGAGGAACACCAGUGGCGAAGGCGGCUACCUGGCCCACUCUUGACGCUGAGGCGCGAAAGCUAGGGGAGCAAACGGG